GGGGUUUGUUUUUAUUGAAGUACAUCCUUCAUUAUAUUAAAUAUGGAUCGAUGGUUUGUAUUGUGCACAGCUGUAGAGUUACAACAAAAUUAGUUCUUUUCCUAAGUGGCACUGUGUUGGACUUCCUCAGCCGAGUUAGAGUGUCACUUACUUGUUAAAUGCGCACCAAGGCCACUUUGCUUUCAAAACCUAACAUCUGUAGCAGUUGAAAAUAUAAUGACACAAAAAAUAGUAUCAUUAAGACUCUUACCAUUAUAUUGCUUAUAAAGAAGUGUACAUGUAUAAAACUGUUCCUUCAUCAAAACAUCAUUGACUAAAAGAUCAUACUUAACAAGUGAUUAAAUGAAUGAUGAUCAAAUAAAUACAGUAUGAGUAAAUGCAGACAAACAUAUAUCGCAUUGUAGCUGACUGGUAUAACUAAGUAAAAUGAAGACAUACUGAGUGAACCCAUAGCGGUCAGGGUACACACCUUGAGAUUCUCCAUAAGGAAGACUAGACUCUGUGUAAAAUUAGAUGACAAAGCUCAUUCUCUGGUAACCCAUAACAAAAGUAUUAAUAUAUAUCUUUACAUUAAUCAAAUUGCUACAGUUAUCAAAGACACACUGUAGAAGUAUUGGCAUCUCAGUAUCAUUAUAGAAUGGACAAAUGCUAAUGCUAAAUUGAUUUUUUUCUGUUGAGUGGGAACUUGUAUGGCUCUGGGUGCACCUCCUCCACCUAAUGUCCAAGAGUCCAUGGUUGAUUAAAUACUAAAUAUGAUUCUACUUAUUUACAGUUUCUGGGGAGACAUUUCAGGCUAAGAAUAAACUCUUACUUAGGUACAGGAAGAUACAACCUUGUCUUAUUUGAAUAUGUAUUAAGUACUUGAAAAGUUUUGGACUGAAAACAAGUGAAUUAGAUAAGGCCAUAUGAUAAUGGAGUUGUUACACUUUUGUACUAUUUUCUACCAUUAUCUGAAAUACUUUAAAUAUCUCUCUUCACAUUUGGAGCAUUAUUGUUCUCUUCUUGCACACAUGUCCAUAUUAUUCAUAUAAGCUCUCAUUGUCACUUCACUCUCUUCCAUUCUCUCAAGGACCUGCUACUCUAUGUCUAUGUUGACUUCCUCUUGUUACAAGUAUUAAAUUUUUCUUUAUUGCCAGUCAUCCAUAUGCAUACAAAUAUCUUUAAAUCUUUCCAUUCACACUUUCAACCGUGCCUCAGAUAAUGCUUGGAUUUUCAGGCUCUGUCACCUUAGUCAUGUGAAUAUAUGUACAAUGCCCUCUAAUUUUGGAGGCAUUGCACAUGUAAAAGAUGGACCUAAAGCUAACCAAGCAAUCAUAAGACCUAAAAGCAUUGCUGGGCUUCCAAAGAGGAACAACAAGCACCAGCAACCAAUCAGUGGAGUGGUCGUGCAGUGCCACGCCUUAUAUAAUCCCUGCUCUGCCUGCCAACACCAUCCUCACAUCAACCACCAAGAGAGAUACAAUCCUACCAGCUUUUGAAAGGUGAGAGUCAGACACACCUAAUGUCCUCAUGGUGUCGGCCAGCUGGAAGAGGUAGUCCUUGUUGGAGCCGCUGGGACCCUCGGCAGAGGCUAUGAUUUGGGCAAUGCUCUCUUCCCCCUUCUCGUUGUGUCCCACAAAGAAUGGGUUGGACUCUGUACCUGCACAACAUACAACAGUAGAAGAGCAAACUCAAUACAAGUUCCUGAUGGUGAAUAAAGAAAUGGUACAUGGUCAGUUGCCAAGGCUGGAUGGAAGGGUCUUGGGGGUGGAAAGUGACAGGCGUUCGCUGAUAACCAUCCUUCUCCCUGUGGUCCAGGUGGGCCAUCACCCUCUCUUGGUCCUCGGGCCCAAUCUUGUAAGCAAUGCCCCAC